GACCCUUACAUAGCACCCACACCCAUAAUUCUCUUGGACAUUUUCAACAAGCAGAGCUCUAGUUUUGACCGUGGCCUUUAGGCAGCUCCUUACAUGAGUAUGUUCAAAAUAGCACUGCCUUCACACUGGUGGGCAAGUCUACUCUUCACAUUUUUAGAGAAAUUUAAUUUCUGUUGACCUUCCUUGUCCAUAGUAAAUCUGGCCCUCAUUUGUUAAAGGGAAAUCUGUCUACUGUGUGAAAGGUACAAAGUUUGAAACCGUUGAUACAAUUUCUGCCUCCAUGUCUUAUGUGGAAAAUACAGAACUGUUACACUACCUUUCACAUUGUCUUUCUUCCCACAUUCUUUUGACCAAUUUUCUGUUAUCACAGGAGAAACUAGUUCAGCAAACUUCUCAAGUGGACAAGAAGAGGUGCAUCCUGGCAAAGUGAGCAGUCGUCCAGAUACCAGUUCUGUCACUGACCAGUUACAGACAAGUGUCACUCUUCAGUCAGAUGCAACUUGACUCCACCUGGUCCUGGAACCUGAACUGCUUUUGCAUCUACACAUCCUGCUCUCAUCUCUGGAGAUAAGUGGAUCAUGGUGAUUUGCAUAUAUAACAGGAAUUUUGAGUUGCUGCAGAGGUGUGAUUCAGUGAAACAUCAAUACCCACUCGGAGCAGCCGCACAAACAGUGAGUUCUGCUAUGCCAGAGAAAUGUGCUCCAGACAGUUCUGCUAUAUACCUCUUGCCGGUUGUAUGUGCUGUUCAAGAAGGUGGAAUAUCGUUUCCGCAUGUACUGUCCGAGUUCAAACAGCUGCUGCAUUCCAGUCUGCGAGGCAAGCAUACAGUAGCGUACGAGGACCGGAGAGACCAACUGAGUAAAUCUCUCCAGUGGACAGCGAAAUUUGCAGCCAGGGAGAGUGAGAGGGUGAGGAUCUCUCAAGGAAUUAUUCCGAUAGUACAUUUCUAUGGUGUAUUGCCUGUUUUGAGAUACAGAAGGGUCAAAAUAAAGUUAGCCAUGCAAAACCACACUGUCUUUCCAUGUUGUAGAGAUUGUACUUUGGGACAUACUUUCAGCCAGCUUAUUUUUCUGGUUGUUAAUGUGUUUAUGUUUUAUUAAUAUCAUUAGUACUCUGAAAAGGUCCUUUUAAACAAUAGGGGGUCAACACCAGUUUGCAUGUAGUAUGUCAUCUUUGUCAAGAAGUUAAAUAGAUUAAAAGGAGGGAGUAAAACCUCUGUAAUGAAUCAAUAUAUAGAAGGU